rnacentral:misc_RNA from 1 species
AAGUCGUAACAAGGUUUCCGUAGGUGAACCUGCGGAAGGAUCAUUAAUGAUUUUUAAAGCGAAUCGAGCGUUUAAGCGAGGCUUUGCGAAAAUAUUUAAAACCCCACUCUUUUUAACUUUAAAAAAAUAAAUCAUGAUGCAUGAAUUUAAAAAAAAGAUCACUUUCAACAACGGAUCUCUUGGCUCUC